UCUUCUAGUUGUUGCAUUAUCCUC
rnacentral:siRNA from 1 species